CAAUAGCGUAUAUUAAAGCUGUUGCGGUUAAAAAGCUCGUAGUUGGAUUUCUGUCAAGGACAACUGGUCCGCCCCUCGGGUGAGCACAUAGUUUGGUCUUGGCAUCUUGUUGGAAACUGUUGCUGCACCUGGUUGUGUGGCGCAGUGUCCAGCACUUUCACUUUGAGGAAAUUGGAGUGUUUCAAGCAGGCACAUGCCUUUGGACACAGUAGCAUGGAAUAAUUAGAUUGGGCUUUUGCUCCAACUUGUCGGUUUCUGGAGCUGAGGUGAGAAUUAAUGGGGAUUGUUGGGGGCAUCCGAAUUUAGCCGUCAGAGGUGAAAUUCUUGGAUCUGCUAAAGACGGACAACUGCGAAAGCGUUUGCCCAGGAUGUUUUCAUUGA
rnacentral:rRNA from 1 species